CCCCCGCAUGCUUCUCCGGCCCAUCUUUCACAAAAUAAACAUCCCUCAUCUUCUGAAAUGCGUGCCACGUCAACAAGCUAUCUGAUCCGGCUUGAUGACAUUUCCCGACUGCCCGAUUCACUUUUAGUGUAGUGGCCACUCGAUCCAAACCACCAUACAAACCAUCACAGAACCGCAUCAUGUAUUUUACAUCAUAAACUCUAUUCCCAAAAAAUACCCUCAACAAUCUCAUAAAAUCCUGUAAAUCACUAGGCAAGCAUCGGCGCGUCAAGAUCUUCACCAGAUAUCCAAAAUCAUAGGCACUGUGAAACGUGACCCAACUCAUCGAUUCAUUGCAUAUCAGUCCCGAAGACAUCAUUAACUCAGCAAACCGGUCAGAGUCAAUACCUUCCUCUCUGUUCCUUUCAAAGUCGAUGCCCUGACGCUUAAGCAAGUCGAUGGAAUCCGGGGCGUGAGCAUCACGAGACACGUCAAAAUCCCGAAAAUUAAAUUCCCAGAUGAAUCGAUUUGUAGUGCCGAGAUCAGGGAGAUUGCCAUUGGAGUCAGAAAGAGUGAGGCCUACCUGGAUGAGAUUCAAAGCAUCGACGUUGGACUUGAGGAUCUUGUAAUGAUCAAAGGGGUGGCGUUGAUGGGAGUAAAAAUUUGCGGAGUCGAGUGAAGGAUGGAAAAUUAGGCCAGGAAAUUCUGUAUCCAUGGAAAUGAAGGGAAAGUCAUCAAUGAGGUCGCGUAUGAGCUGGAAUUCAGAUUCCAAAUUAGCAGACCAUACUUGUCGAAUGAUAACUGGGUUGGAGUCUUGAAGAAUCAUUUUCGUUUGCAGAUUAAAGAGAAGCUUGGUGG
rnacentral:misc_RNA from 1 species